rnacentral:rRNA from 1 species
ACGGGAGGCAGCAGUGGGGAAUAUUGGACAAUGGGGGCAACCCUGAUCCAGCCAUGCCGCGUGUGUGAAGAAGGCCUUUUGGUUGUAAAGCACUUUAAGCAGGGAGGAGAGGCUAAUGGUUAAUACCCAUUAGAUUAGACGUUACCUGCAGAAUAAGCACCGGCUAACUCUGUGCCAGCAGCCGCGGUAAUACAGAGGGUGCGAGCGUUAAUCGGAAUUACUGGGCGUAAAGCGAGUGUAGGUGGCUCAUUAAGUCACAUGUGAAAUCCCCGGGCUUAACCUGGGAACUGCAUGUGAUACUGGUGGUGCUAGAAUAUGUGAGAGGGAAGUAGAAUUCCAGGUGUAGCGGUGAAAUGCGUAGAGAUCUGGAGGAAUACCGAUGGCGAAGGCAGCUUCCUGGCAUAAUAUUGACACUGAGAUUCGAAAGCGUGGGUAGCAAACAGGAUUAGAUACCCUGGUA